GGCCUACCAUGCAGUCGAGCGGAUGAAGGGAGCUUGCUCCUGGAUUCAGCGGCGGACGGGUGAGUAAUGCCUAGGAAUCUGCCUGGUAGUGGGGGAUAACGUCCGGAAACGGGCGCUAAUACCGCAUACGUCCUGAGGGAGAAAGNGGGGGAUCUUCGGACCUCACGCUAUCAGAUGAGCCUAGGUCGGAUUAGCUAGUUGGUGGGUUAAAGGCCUACCAAGGCGACGAUCCGUAACUGGUCUGAGAGGAUGAUCAGUCACACUGGACCUGAGACACGGUCCAGACUCCUACGGCAGGCAGCAGUGGGGAAUAUUGGACAAUGGGCGAAAGCCUGAUCCAGCCAUGCCGCGUGUGUGAAGAAGGUCUUCGGAUUGUAAAGCACUUUAAGUUGGGAGGAAGGGCAGUAAGUUAAUACCUUGCUGUUUUGACGUUACCAACAGAAUAAGCACCGGCUACUUCUNACCCCCCCCCCC
rnacentral:rRNA from 1 species